GCCCAGAUAGCUCAGUCAGUUGAGCACAUGACACAUAAUCUCAAAGUUGUGAGUUCGAGCCCCACAUUGGGCA